CCACAGGGAGGAGGAACACAAGGAGCAGGGAGACAGAAAGGCAGGGGAAGCCAUGAUGGAUCUCACAGAGACACAAACAAGGGGGCCAAGCCUGCACCGUAACCGCCCGGACUUGGGGUUUGUCAGCAGCUUUUUGGGGAUCCCCAGCACAGGAUGAUCCUGAAAACAUAGGAAGCUCAGAGAUGUGAAGUGGCCCAUUCAUCUGAAUGUGAUGGUCUCUGCUGAAUCAGAACAUUCCAUGGAGAUGAAUACACCUUGAAACAAUAGCUCUGAGAUGUGUGAACUUCUCCCUUCAUCUCAAUGGGUGUCCCAUCCCCAUUCCUGAAAGUUUGAGAGCAUGGGAUAUACAUCAAGCAUGCCCACUCCCAACUCUUCAUCCCCAUCUCAGCAGUGUGUUCUUGACACAUGGCUCUCCGUAUGCCUGUUCUGAGCUCCCCACCCAGUACAGGGCUUCCCCAGAUCCCCACAGCCCCCCACAUUCUCCUCCAGUUCUGAUCCAGCCCCCUCAGGUCUUCCUAACACCCGUCCAGCCUCCUUGAGUCCCCCAGCUCCAAUCUAGUCAUCCCUCCUGCCCCCCUUUCCUGAUCCACCCCUUUAGCCCUGUUUUAAGCCCCCCACAAGCCGUCCCCUAGACCUCCUCUCAGUUCCCUCCAGCUCUGCCCCAACUCCCCCCACUCCCCCCAUCCUCCCAUCUCUGAUCUAAAUCCCCCAAGGGUGCUCCAACUCACUUCUCCCACCCUCAGUAUCUCUGAUCCCGCCCCCCAGCUCUACCCACUUCUGCUCCAUCCUCCCCGCCCCAAACUCCCUUCCCUCAAUCCCUCCCAGUUCCCCCUGCUCCUCCACUCCAUACAAAGCAGCCAAAGCUUUUCCCUUAAACUCUGUCUCUAGGGGGCUGUGUCUCCUGUCUCUACUCUACCAUGUUCCCAUGCAUUCCCCAGCACUAUGAUCUCCCCAUGCCUUCUCCACACACCCUUGCUGGCUACUCACAACUGGGGCCCAGGGUUGCCCCAGCUACAGGGGCCCCUCAGCCCAGCCCCCUCUGCCCUGGGGGGCCAGCACACUUCUCCUGGCAGCCCCGUCUGCUGCGGUGCAACACAGCUCACCUUCUUCUGGACUGGCAGUGGCAUGAAGGGGGAUACGUGUCUGUGGCUAGAUCCGAGAGCCCUCCAUGGCUAGCAGCCCUUUGUACCACCAGCACAAACAGCCCAUCCCCUGUCCUGAUUGCCAGACCCCUGGGUUCUAUCUACUGGGGAUAAUCUGUGUAUACACUCCUGUUAGAUUUCGAGGCAGUGGGUAUACAGGCUCCAGGAUGCUUGGGUCCUACCCACUGCACCAACCAGGGGUGCAGUUCCCUUACAUCUCCAGACAGGGGAUGGCACCCCCAUUCCUGUUGUCUCUCUGUCCUCAUGGGUUCUAAAUUGAAAUCAUAUUCUGACUGGGCCCCCAUAAUCUCGUGAUGCCUGGCGUGAUUGCACCACUUUAGUUAUGCUAGUGGGCUAUAUCUUAGGGACCCCUUGGUUAAGUGAUCCCAAAUCUGGAUCAGUAACCCUCACCCCCAUGAGGCACACAAAAUUUCAAGGCAAUUUGAAUAACCAUGCAUAUUUUAGAGCUUGUCUUAAACUUAAUUAAUUAUAACUACAGCAGUGGCAAGUUCCCUGCUAUAAUAGACAAGACACAAAACGGGAGGGAGGGGAAACAAGCACAGAGAGGUGAUCUGACUUGCCCAAGGUUACACAAGAGGUCAGUAGAGCUAGGAACAGAACUGGCCCACCUGAAAUGCAGGCCAGUACCUAUCCACUAGGAGAUUAUAGUGCCUCUCAAUAUAUACAACUAUAUGUGUCUAAUGCACAGUGGUUUCUGGCUGCUAAUCUACACUGGGAUCUUUGUCUUGAUUAAGUCACAAGAUAGCUCCAUGCCUGCGUUUUUCCAUCUGUAGAAAGAGUAUAAUAUAGAGGAGAAGAAAUUGUAAUUCUUAAUCAGCAUUUAUAACUUUGGAUAAGUAAAUUAAAAGUGAUAUUAGAGUAUGUUUUAUUAUGAACUGUCAAUCUUGUUUCUUUGUUAAAGUAAGAUUAACAUGGCAAAAUUAAACACAAAAAAGUUCGGAAAUGAAAAAGGUAAGAUUCUAACAGUAAAUUGCCCAUACUUUAUAUUAAUAUUUACUCUGUAUUAACAACUCUAUCAUAUUAAUAUUAUAGAGUUAGGCCCAAGCUGCAAAGUGCAGAUGUACGUAGAAGAAACAUCCUUUAAACAAACGUUUUCUUAAUCUUAACUGUAGCAGAGCUAAUGUUCCGCUAUAAUUGUGUGUGAAAUUAAUCAUUAUCUGAUGAGAACCAAAUUUUCCAAAAUUCAGGUGGUCUGAUUCAGGGUCUUAGUUUGACCCAUUAUGACAGGAGCUAGCCAGUAUGUUCAGCUGGAGGUGACUAGAAUUUGUUUGGGCCCAUCACUACUAAUUAGUCAAUGGAAUGUGGAGGCAAAUUAGUGUGGCUCAGAUUGAAGUCCUAAUCUUUUUGUGUUUUUAGUUGUAUGUACUUAUAAACUGUGAUUUUUUUCAACACCACUCCCCCAAGAGGCAUGGAGUCAAAGGCAAUGUACUUAGGUUUACACAGUGUCAGCGUAGACACCGUGUUACUUUCAUCGACUGUUACUGGCCUCCAGAAGCUGUCCCACAAUGCCGCACAGUGACCACUCUGAUCAUCAUUGUGAACUCCACUGCCCAGAGGCCUCUCCCCUUUAAAGCCUUGCGAAUUUUUGAAAUUCCUUUUCUUUGUUGCUCAACUUGGCAAGCAUACCUAGCAAUUCUCCAUUGUUGUAUGCAACUGCCCAGCUGACCAUGCCACCUACACUUGCAGACGUGCUCCUGCCUGGAGUGCACAGGAGGUGUUGGUUGGGUCUCCUGGGUCUGUGGCGAGAAGAGGCUGUACAUACACAGUUCCGAUCCAGCCAUACAAAUGUGGACAUCUACAAGCAGAUUGCUCUGGGCAUGCGGGAGAAAGGCUACAACAGGGACCAACAACAGUGCCGUGUGAAAGCUAAGGAGCUGUGGCAGGCAUACCAAAAGGCAAGAGAGGCCAACAAUUGAUCUGGUGCAGAGCCGCAGACCUGCUGCUUUUACAAAGAACUGCAUGCCACCCUCAGUGGAGACCCCGCCAUCAUCCCCAAAGCCCCAUGGAUACUUCGGAGAAGCCUGAGACACAGGCCCCUACUAUGAACAGCGAGGAGGAGGAGGAGAUGGAUGAGGAGCAUGGGGAACAGGCUACUGGUGAUACAGCUGCACAGCAAGCCAGGAUGUGUUUUUGGCUUCACUGUAAAUUACAGGGAUGGAACCCCCAAAGUAGCAGGACACAUCUGUUGAUUUACUCUUUUUUACUUGUGCUAGAAGAAGUAGUGAAACAACGAAGAGAGGUUGAAUUGCUAUCUGCUUGUCAUUCCCCUCUAGAGUUAGGCGGUGGGGAGGGGGCGGAGAAGGGGGGCAAUGCGGACCAGUUUGUUUAUGUGCACCGGGAUGUCCUGUGAAUCCUCCAAAAAGAUCUCAGUUAAGCUUUCAUGGAGGUACUCUGCAAUCCUCUGCCAAAGGUUCCUGGGGAGGGCUGCCUUAUUUCUUCCUCUAUGGUAAGACACUUUCCUGUGCCAUUUAGCGAUUACUUCAGCAGGGACCACUGCAGUACACAGACUAGCAGCAUACGGGCGCAGGCAGCAUCGGGAUGCCAGCAGCAGCUGUGCUCUCUCUGGCUUUGUUACCUUCAGGAGUAAGAUAUCAGCUAAAAUCAGCACUGCCUGUGGAAAAUGGUGUCAGUAUUCAGCUCUACUGCUCUAUACACAUAUACUCAUGCCUCUGAGGCCAUGUCUACACUACCCGCCGGAUCAGCGAAUAGUGAUCGAUCUAUCGGGGAUCGAUUUAUCAUGUCUAGUGUAGACGCGAUAAAUCAAUCCCUGAUCGCUCUGCUGUCGACUCCGAAACUACACCACAACGAGAGGCGGAAGCGGAGUCGAUGGGGGAGCGGCCAUUGAUCCUGCGCCACGAGGACGCAAACUGAUGCCAUUGUGGCCUUGAGGGUCUCCCCCUCCACACCCAUGGAACAUCUGAGGCAGAUAAGGAGGAGAAAGAAGAGGACUUGGGAUGACAUGUUCCAGGAGAUGCUGCAAGCCAGUGUUGCAUCAGAGAAUGACACCAGGGCCUGGAGGAUGACCCUUGCAGACAGCAUGCAGAAGGCAAGAGUGGAGAGAAGGAAGGCCCAGGAAUCCAAGCUGGAAAAGGAGAGGGAGAUGCACCAGGACAUAAUGGGGCUUCUCAGGCAGCAAACAGAGAUGCUGCAGACUCUGGUAGACCUGCGCUCAAGAGUCCUGUGCUGGCCUCCCUCUGCAGCCCAUAGACAACUCAAUGUCCGGACCUCCCUACACCUCCCCUCAGCAUUCCAUAUGCCAUUAAGAGCUGCUGCACUACCCCUACCACUCCACCCCGAGGAACAUUAAAGACAAUCACAAGUGCACAUACACUGACCUGUGAAAGACAUGGUUGGUGUAUGUGUACCUGAAAUGGAAUGACUGUUCUUUCCCCUUCAUUUUUGAAUUUCUGUUCCCUUAAUUUUUUAUGGUUUAUAAAGUGCUAAAUAGUUGUUUUAUUUUCCUGGCUCAUGUUACAGAAUACAAUUCUAUUUUUUGGAACAUAAUUCAUCUUUAUUAAUUCACAACAUAUGCUGACUGGUGCUGAGCAGGGCUGACGUCGACCAAUUUCCUGUUACUUUAUUUUAUCACAGAACACAUAACAUCAAUCUCAGACAGUAUUAACAGGUGCAUUGUCAAUGUUAUAUUCCUACACGUAGCACUCACUGCAAGAUUCAUACUGGGCUGCAAAAGAGCAAGGCUUGUUAGAGCACACUACAGCGCCACACACUACUCUGGCUCACUAUUAAAAUGUUCUUUCAAAGCCUCCCUGAGCUGUAUAGCUCCACAUUGAGCUCUUCUAAUAAACCUUGUGUCUGGCUGUUCAAAUUCACCUGACAGCUGCUCCACCUCUGCCCUCCAUCCCAGCAAAACUUUCCCCGCUUUGCGUCACAGAUAUUAUGCAGAACACAGCAGGCAGAUAUAACCAUUGGGAUAUUUUUCUCACUGAAGUCUAAUCUUGUGAGUAAACAAUGCCAAAGGCACAUUCGACUGUCAUGCUGCACCUGCUGAACUGGUAGUUGAAUUAUUCCUUGGUGCUGUCGAGGUUGCCGGUGUACAGCUUCAUGAGCCAUGGGAGCUAGCGGUAUGCUGGGGGGGGAAGAAAGUCCCUGCUGGUCAGGAAAGAAAGUCCCUGCUUGCAGAUUUCUGAACAUUCCUGGGUUCUUAAAGAUGUGCACGUCAUACACCUCCCCUGACCAGUCCACACUGAUGUCGGUAAUGUAUCCGUGGUGAUCCACCAGCACUUGUAUUACCAUGGAAAAGUAGCCCUUUCUGUUGAUGUACUCUGUGGCAAGGUGGUCUGGUGGUAAAAUAGGGAUAUGUGUACCAUCUAGCACCACAUGUAGGUUGGGAAUCCCAUUGCUGAAAAACCAUCCACUAUGCCCUGCACAUUGCCCAGAGUCACAAUCCUGCAUAGCAGCAGUCAAUUAAUGGCCUAGCACACUUCCAUGACAGCCACCCCUGCGGUGGAUUUCCCGAUUCCAAAUUGAUUCUCGACUGUCUGGUAACAAUCUGGCAUUGCAAGUUUCCACAGUGCAAUCGCCACUCGCUUUCCAGCUGUCAGUGUGGCUCUCAUUUUGGUGACCCUAUGCUGGAGGGUUGAGGGAGUUUGGCAUACAGAUCCAGGAAUAUGGCCUUGUGCAUUUGAAAGUUCUGCAGCACUGCUUGUUAUCCCAAACCUGCAUCACAUUGCAAUCCCACCAGUCAGUGCUUGCCUCUUGGGCCCAGAACUGGCACUCCACUGUCUGCAGUUGCUCCAUGAAUGCUGCCAACAACCUUGAAUUGUUUCUUUCUGUGGCUCACAGCAAUCAAGCCUCCAAGAAAUUGUCAUGUUCCCUAUGGCUCCUCUUGCAGCUCUGCAACACUGCAGGAUCAGAUGCCCUGUGCUUGAAAUGCUCAUGACAAUAGUGCAGAGCUGUGCAGGCUCCAUGCUUCUGUCAGCAAUGGUGGACAGCAAGGAAGGACACACAGGUUUGUGGGGAUUUUGAAAAGAGGCAUCAAAUAUUAUGGGAUGCAGAUGAAAUUAUGGGGUGGAGAACACUGCAUUGUGGGAAGUUGAACUCAUGCUCCCAGUCACCCCUGCAUGACUCAUUUCAGCCCCAGAAGGCAUUGUGCAAACUUUCCACAACACCCUGUGCUAGAUGGUGGUGAGUUGCACAGUGGGAUAGUUACCCAUGGUGCACUGCAUUCUGCAUCGAUACAAGCGCUCCUGGUGACGAUGCGCACCGCCAACACAAGGAGUGUAGCGUGCACGCACACAAGCAGUACAAUAACUGGUGGCUGUAUGUCGACGUUUUUUAGGUAGACAUAAUUUUGUAGUGUAGACAUGGCAUAAGUCAGAGUCUCCCUCUUAAAUUAUCUUCAAUUUUAAUUUCCCUUUUUAAAAAAAGCUUUAUUUUCAGCGCUUUUACUCUCAUUUGCCAUCCUGCAAAAGUGAAGAAUGGACAAUAAAUCCAGAGGGUUUAUAUAAACUAAGAGAAACCAAUACCAAACCACAGGAUCAGAUUACAAUGUUUAAAGAGCAUCAUCUUUCCACCAUAUAGUGAAGUUAUCCAGUGAAGUCUGUGUGAUGUUUUGAGGAACAUGAUAUAUUCCCUUAACUCUGGAAACCACUGUUAGAUGCAUUAAGAAUAGCUAACAUAUUGAUUGCUCAUUUGGACAGCUGAAUAAAGUAGCUGCUGCCUGAAACAUCCUGGAGUAAUCAGUGAAGGCCAUUUAUCAGCAUGCUGUUCAGCUCAAAAUCCUUUCUCAGAUCGACUGAUGCAGGGUCUUGUGUGUGGUGAGAGUCUUAACUGCUUUUUAAAUGCAGUUAUUUUAUUACCUGGGUUCCUCAUUGCUGGGGUUCAUGGAUCACAGCCAAUGACGUUUUGUCUGUUGCCAUAACCCCAUCAUCAGUUGAACAGUGAUGAUUCAGAACAGUUGGAGGCUGAGAGUUUGACAAAUCUUCUGUCACUUAAACAGCACAAAGGCUGGGCAGUAUCGAAGGAAUGUGCUGUCAUGGAGUUGCUGCUGAUGCCGCUUGAGGGUGUUCUUUCACCCCACAGAGUAGGACACACAUUCACAGGCAGGCUCUUCACGAUCAGAAUUUUCGAAUUCUCCCCACCACUAUCCAGAAAUCACAUACAAUAAUUAGAAUGAUUGUUUAUUUGUAUUACGGUAACACCUAGAGGAUCCAUUGUGUUAGCCACUGUACAUCUACACAAUGAAAAGAUGGUCACUGGCCCAAAAAGCAGGUCCUUCUUGCAUUUUAGUUUGCAUAAUGACAGGUGGUGUCUACAUCUGAGUGGUGGAUCAAUUGAUUCUUCUUCAGAUAGGGGAAAAUCCUAAGGUUAUACUCAGAGUUUGACAGACUUUGACAGUCUAUACUUCAGCAAAAUUCCCAGUGACUCCUAUUUUGCCUGAGUAAAAAUGGAGUAAGGAUUUCAGGGCCCCAUUCUGACACCCUUACUCAUUCAAUCCCACUGAAAUCAACAGGCCUACUCAUCUGAGUAAAGAUGAACAUGCAGGGAACUCCAGUUUAGGCCUUGGCUUGAUGAGGGUUUAAAGUGUGAUGUUAGCACAUUUUAGCCAACAUGUACGAACUAACAGUAGUUUGCAGUGUUGCUGUAGUUGUGUUGGUCCCAGGAUAUGAAAGAAACAAGGUGGGUGAGGUAAUAUCUUUUAUUGGACCAACUUCUAUUGGUGUAAGAGACAAGCUUUCGAGCUACACAGAGCUCUUCUUCAGGUCUCGGGAAGGAACCAGUGACUGAGCAGCUGAGCUAAAUACAAAUUGGGACAGAUUGUUAAACAGACAGGGUAAUGCAUGUAACCCUCAAUUGCCCACUUCAUUUUGAGUGAUCACCUCCAACAAGUUUAGCAUAUCUGGCCCAUAAAUACCUUGCAAUGCCAGCUACAAAAGUGCCUGGCGAAUGCCUGUCUUUCAGGUGACAUUGUAAAUAAGAAGCAGGCAGCAUUAUCUCCCAUAAAUCAUAAUGGAAACAAACUUGUUUGUCUCGGUGUUUGGCUGAACAAGAAGUACGGUGGAGUAGACUUGUAGGCUCUAAAAUUUUUACAUUGUUUUGUUUCUGAGUGCAGUUAUAACAAAAAAAGUUGUAAGUUGACUUUCACGAUAAAAAGAUCGCACUACAGUACUUGUGAU